rfam:Callithrix jacchus chromosome 7, whole genome shotgun sequence
AGCUUUGCACAGUGGCAGUAUCACAGCCAAUGAGAUUUAUCCAAGGCUCGAUUAUUGCUAAUUGAAAACUUUUCCCAAUACCCCACCAUGACGACUUGAAAUAGGGUUGGUGUUGGCAAUUUUUGGCAGUGUCUAUGGAGACA